AACACUGUAUACUCAUAACAGCCUAGAAUUCUAUCAGUAGAACAUCACAUUUUCUUUUCUGUUUGCAGGAAGAAGUUUUGGUGUUGAUAGAGGAGGCAACAUCUUCAAGGCAAAACCUUAGACCUGAUGCAACAUCAUCCAAUGUUGCAAUCACCCUCAGGAGGCACUUGAAGCCCAGUGCCCAAUAUGCACAGGAACAUUUCCAGUGUCAGAAGUAGAACUGCCAUGCCAGCUUUUGUGGAGAAAAGUAAUGGUGAGUGGAGAUUCCAGAGCUGGCCGGCAGACACUGCGGACCACUCAAGUUGCCGGAUCUCCGUACUACGAGUCCUUAAGCACAGAAGAACAGAGGGUCAGACACUGAAGCUUGCAUAAAUACACAAAACACGAGCAAAGACUAAACAAUCUACUCAUGACGAUGGACAGAAAGGCAGGAGACAUAUAAGAGAGUGGGGGGAUGAGCACCAGGUGGGGGAGAAUCAGCUCCUGAUCUGCGCACCCCCGCCCCGAGAUCAGCGCUGAUUGCCCAGACCAUGAGCUACCAAACAUGACAGGACAACCCAGACCACAGGGGAAGCCAAGAAGACACCCUGCACCGUGACAGUGCAACAUAAGAUUGCAGUCUUGUGGGUGUAGGUUGGGUUUUGUGUGACCUUGAUGAUCCCAUGAUAAAUUAUUCAGCUUGUAAGAAUUUUGUAAUAUGUAAAAUUUUUUUUUUUUAA